ACCUCCGGGAAGUUGGCACCGCACUUUGAAGUUAGAAAAAUUUUAAGGGUUGUUCCAGGUUGUUCUAGGUUUGUUCUAUAUUGUUCCAAAAUAUCGCGUCCGAAAAAAAUUUAUUUUCCACAAAAUUCG